ACCCAGGUGGCUCAGUGGUUGAGCGUCUGCCUUUGGCUCAGGUCAUGAUCCCAGGGCCCUGGGAUCGAGUCCCACUUUGUGUU
rnacentral:tRNA from 1 species